GCAAACUUGGUCAUUUAGAGGAAGUAAAAGUCGUAACAAGGUCUCCGUAGGUGAACCUGCGGAGGGAUCAUUACUGAGUGAGGGCCCCGGGCCCGACCUCCAACCCUUUGUGAUUAAGACUUGUUGCCUCGGGGUGACCCGGCCCCGUCGGGGUCGCCGGCGCCCCCGGUGGACCAUCUCUAAACACUGCAUCUUUGCGUCGGUUGCAUUGCAAAAUUGAUUAAAACUUUCAACAACGGAUCUCUUGGUUCUGGCAUCGAUGAAGAACGCAGC
rnacentral:misc_RNA from 1 species